GGCUGGAUUCCCGAGCGGCCAAAGGGGGCAGACUGUAAAUCUGCUAGCGAUGCUUUCGGUGGUUCGAAUCCACCUCCAGCCACCA
rnacentral:tRNA from 1 species